CUAAAAUCAGGAACCUGGGAUGAGAUAAAUCCAGCUUUCUGUUUCACCUCGUCAGAACUCUUACAAAGAAAUGCGACGCGGCAUGGGGUUGUCAGGGAGCCCGCGGGUCAUGACGGGAUAUCCUAGGAUCUCUACCUCCUUUAGACGGAGAGCAAAGCGGAAGCCGUGCCAACUUAUUGAAGGCUCCUGAAGCCCCGGCUUAGAAGCCGCGGAUUAAGGGUAAAGGCUUAUGGACGACGCAUUUGGCAAAAGCCUCAAGUAGACCCGAACACAGAAUAAAAAUUACAAGAGGAAAA